CUUUUCAGUUUAUCUGUGAUUUUAUGAGACUAAUAUGGCCGGUUAUCUAAAUGGACGUUUAGAAGAUAAACCCCCUUUUUCCUCACUAUGGACUCUUAUUCAGAGUGACAUUUCCACGGCAACAGCCUUAAAAGACAGGACCAGCCGGAUAAGGAUGUGAUCUCAGGAAGCCGCCCAGGCGAAACGCGUCAUCACGUCCACGCACGACGCUAUCACGUGACCGUAAGAAGCUCUGAGAACCAGGAAGUGCCUCCUACAGUGCCAGAGAUCGGAUACCGCUGACAGAGAUUGUGGGUUUCAUUAUUUUCAUGGGCAUCUGAUGGGAUAUUGUCCUUCAGGGUGAAUAAGGAAGCUAUUUUUUACUUGGAAGAAAUAAUGUGUGUUCCCUUUUACUGAGCUGGCGUCCUGCUGCAUUUACGAUCACUCAGUCCUGUGUUGUGGGCUACAAGCUGGAUAAGUUAGAACAGGCUUCCACCGCUCUUUCCUUGUGAGUUACAUUCCCAUUACCUUGGUCUCUGUAUUAAG